AACUGUUUCAUUUAUGGAAUGCUUUGGGGAAAAAAACCUUCCUCAUCCUUUGAGUUUGUCAAACAAUUUGGUUUAUGCAAGUUAAUUUUUAUCUACCUUUACCCCUUAUUUCUCUGCCAUUUUAAAACCUACUAUGUAAAGGCAGUAUGUGUAACCUGGAAUUGGCAUGUGUUUUAAACGUAGCGGAUGUGAAUAUAACGACGAAGAGCCGACUUGACCAUUUUGAGAUGCUACCCCGUGUGGUUCAUACUAGGCCUACACCCUUUGAGUAAAAGGGUCAUUUUUUUUUUUUUCAGACCGAUUCCUCAAAAGGUAAUUGAUCCUGUUUUGGGCUCCAGUUCCCCUGCAGGUAGCAGUAGUUCAGGACUCUUGUUGACCACGAUGUCAACAGGUGGUCCUACACCACAUGACAUCACCCAGCACCGUAACGGCCACUGUGCAGACUAUACUGAUGACAGACUCAUUUCCCCAUGAGGGGAUGAAUUCACGUUCAUCUCAGGGGUCGUGGGCUGGUUGGUAAUCAUCUUGUCCUGCUGCUGUGGAGAGUCCCAGUCUUUAUCGGCAACAACAUAGCGAUGGCUCAGAUCUUCUGGGAGAGGCUGUGGAUGAUACUGUGGCGUGCAGAGUACUGGACAGAUGCAAGGUGUACGGACUCCAUGUUGACUCUCCCCAGAGACCUGCAGAACCAUCAUCUCCAUCUUGGUCUCCAGCAUCGCCGGGAUGGGGAAAGUGCAACAGCUGCUCGGCGCGAGGGUUCCGGAACCGAGGCCCAGGUUGCCACGGCAGCUGGGAUUCUGUUCCCGAUUUGCCGGGGUGCUGAGUCUGUCUCUCAGCUGGACAGCUCAGUGUCAUCAUUGACUUCUAUAAUCCUCUGGAACACCAAGGCUUAAAGAGCUGGGUGCAGCAUUAGACCAGGGUCCUAUUCCCUAUAUAGUGCACUACUUUAGACCAGGGCCCUAUAUAGUACACUACUUUAGACCAGGGCCCUAUAUAGUGCACUACUUUAGACCAGGGCCCUAUAGAACCCUAUUCCCUAUAUAGUGCACUACUUUAGACCAGGGUCCACUGACAGCUUUCUGUUUCAGACUGAAGAUCUAAUGAAG